ACCUCCUAGUGAUCUGCCAUUCA
rnacentral:miRNA from 1 species